GACGAACGCUGGCGGCGUGCUUAACACAUGCAAGUCGAACGGAAAGGCCCUGCUCUGGUGGUGUGCUCGAGUCGCGAACGGGUGUGUAACGCGUGAGUAACCUGCCCUUUACUUUGGGAUAACUUCAGGAAACUGGGUCUAAUACCGGAUAGGAGCUCCUGCCGCAGGGGGGGGGGGGGAAAGUUGCGGGGGUGGGGGGUGGCCGCGCGGCUUAUCAGCUUGGUGGUGGGGGAGGGGCUUACCAAGGCUUUGACGGGUAGCCGGCCUGAGAGGGUGACCGGCCACAUGGGGACUGAGAUACGGCCCAGACUCCUACGGGAGGCAGGAGUGGGGAAUAUUGCACAAUGGGCGGAAGCCUGAUGCAGCAACGCCGGGUGCGGGAUGACGGCCUUCGGGUUGUAAACCGCUUUCGCCUGUGACGAAGCGUGAGUGACGGUAAUGGGGAAAGAAGCACCGGCUAACUACGU
rnacentral:rRNA from 1 species